UUCUCCUAAGCAGCAUUCUGCCAGGCAUCCUGGUCACCACAAACGCUGAGGACAUGCAGAAGAGGAAUAAAUCUCCUGGCCAGAUGAAUCAGACUUGGCUCAUCUGUUCUUGUGGGACAAACACAUGCCUUGCUACACAAAAGAGGCUAAUACUCAAAUUUCAGUUGGGGAACACUUGCCUCACUUUUGUAAGGAAACAACAACUAGAAGGUUUUGCAGAAAACUAGAAAACUAGACCAAUGUCUUCUGCAAGAUUGCCUCAAUUUGUGGUU
rnacentral:lncRNA from 1 species